CAGUCGCCACGGGAAUACGAAGGGUGCAAGCGUUACUCGGAAUUACUGGGCGUAAAGCGUGCGUAGGUGGUUGUUUAAGUCUGCUGUGAAAGCCCUGGGCUCAACCUGGGAAUUGCAGUGGAUACUGGGCGACUAGAGUAAGGUAGAGGAUAGUGGAAUUUCCGGUGUAGCAGUGAAAUGCGUAGAGAUCGGAAGGAACAUCUGUGGCGAAGGCGACUAUCUGGGCCAUUACUGACACUGAGGCACGAAAGCGUGGGGAGCAAACAGGAUUAGAUACCCGCGUAGUCCCUGUCUCUUAUAC
rnacentral:rRNA from 1 species